rnacentral:rRNA from 1 species
UAUGGUCGACCUGCAGGCGGCCGCGAAUUCACUAGUGAUUCGUAUUACCGCGGCUGCUGGCACGUAGUUAGCCGGGGCUUCUUCUGGAGGUACCGUCACCCUCUGGGCUAUUAACCCGAGUGGCUUCGUCCCUCCUGAAAGCGGUUUACAACCCGAAGGCCUUCUUCCCGCACGCGGCGUCGCUGCGUCAGGCUUUCGCCCAUUGCGCAAGAUUCCCCACUGCUGCCUCCCGUAGGAGUCUGGGCCGUGUCUCAGUCCCAGUGUGGCUGAUCGUCCUCUCAGACCAGCUACGGAUCGUCGCCUUGGUGAGCCGUUACCUCACCAACAAGCUAAUCCGCCGCGAGUCCCUCCUCGGCCGGAGGCCGAAGCUACCUUUUCUAACGAGCCCGAGAGCUCGAAAGGCCAUCCGGUAUUAAUCCGGGUUUCCCCGGGCUAUCCCGGUGCCGAGGACAGGUUACUCACGUGUUACUCACCCGUUCGCCGCUUUCCCCAGGGCCGAAGCCCUGGUUCUAGCUCGACUUGCAUGUGUUAAGCGCGCCGCCAGCGUUCGUCCUGAGCCAGGAUCAAACUCUAAUCGAAUUCCCGCGGCCGCCAUG